CCUACCCUCCUCAUCACGUGUGACCUGUGUUAAGGUGCAUCUAGUGCAGUUAGUGAAGCCGCUUAGAACCUACUGCCCUAAAUGCCCCUUCCGGCACAGGCUGCCUCGUGCUCAUCAUUAAACAG
rnacentral:precursor_RNA from 12 species